rnacentral:rRNA from 1 species
UCGCAUGCUCCCGGCGCCAUGGCGGCCGCGGGAAUUCGAUUAGAGUUUGAUCAUGGCUCAGAUUGAACGCUGGCGGCAGGCCUAACACAUGCAAGUCGAGCGGUAGAGAGGUGCUGCACCUCUUGAGAGCGGCGGACGGGUGAGUAAUGCCUAGGAAUCUGCCUGGUAGUGGGGGAUAACGCUCGGAAACGGACGCUAAUACCGCAUACGUCCUACGGGAGAGAGCAGGGGACCUUCGGGCCUUGCGCUAUCAGAUGAGCCUAGGUCGGAUUAGCUAGUUGGUGGGGUAAUGGCUCACCAAGGCGACGAUCCGUAACUGGUCUGAGAGGAUGAUCAGUCACACUGGAACUGAGACACGGUCCAGACUCCUACGGGAGGCAGCAGUGGGGAAUAUUGGACAAUGGGCGAAAGCCUGAUCCAGCCAUGCCGCGUGUGUGAAGAAGGUCUUCGGAUUGUAAAGCACUUUAAGUUGGGAGGAAGGGCAUUAACCUAAUACGUUAGUGUUUUGACGUUACCGACAGAAUAAGCACCGGCUAACUCUGUGCCAGCAGCCGCGGUAAUACAAUCACUAGUGAAUUCGCGGCCGCCUGCAGUCGACCAUAUGGGAGAGCUCCCAAC